rnacentral:rRNA from 1 species
UGCGUAGGCGGCCAAAUAAGUCAGAGGUGAAAUCCUACAGCUUAACUGUAGAACUGCCUUUGAAACUGUUUGGCUAGAAUAGAGUUGAGGUUAGCGGAAUGUGACAUGUAGCGGUGAAAUGCAUAGAUAUGUCAUAGAACACCAAUUGCGAAGGCAGCUAACUGGGCUUUUAUUGACGCUGAGGCACGAAAGCGUGGGGAGCGAACAGGAUUAGAUACCCGAGUAGUCC